GAGCCGGGUUGUGAAAAGUUUUUUGUAAUCUAACGCUGUGGAGUUGUAGUUAUGGUUAGGAGCAUGGGAAUGGUUGUAGGUUAUAGUUAAAAGGUUGUAGUUUCUUGUGAUGUAAAGGAAAUAGUUAUAGCUGCUACAGUUCCGGAGUUAUAGGGCACUGAACUUAGACUAAUAUUUUUUUCCGAACUUUUCCGAAUAAUAUGAAAAGAUUUUUAUAACUCAAUAUUGUGAAGUUAUAGAUGGUGUUAAGAGCAUAUGGAUGGUUGUAGGUUAUAGAUAAAAGGUUGUAGUUUCUUGUGAUGUAAAGGAAAUAGUUAUAGCUCCUACAGUUCCGGAGUUAUAGAGCACUGAACUUAGACUAAUAUUUUUUCCGAAUUUUUCCGAACAAUAUGAAAAGUUUUUUAUAACCCAAUAUUGUGAAGUUAUAUGCGGUGUUAGGAGCAUGUGGAUAGUUGUAAGUUAUAGAUAAAAGGUUGUAGUUUCUUGUGAUGUAAAGCAAUUAGUUAUACCAGUUAUAGUUGCUGAGUUAUAGGGCAUUGAACUUAGACUAAUAUUUUUUCCGAAUUUUUCCGAACAAUAUGAAAAGUUUUUUAUAACCCAAUAUUGUGAAGUUAUAGAUGGUGUUAGGAGCAUAUGGAUAGUUGUAGGUUAUAGAUAAAAGGUUGUAGUUUCUUGUGACAUAAAGCAAUUACUUAUAGCAGUUAUAGUUCAUGAGUUAUAGGCUUCCAAACUUAGGCUCACAAAAAUUUCUGACACUUCUACAAUACACAAAAUCGCCAGAACUAAUCACUCAGUAUCUCCGGCACUCCUCGCUCUAGCUCGCUCUAACUCGAACACAAGGUAGAUGAAUUGUCGCUCUAUCUCUCGCUCUAAUCCACAAACCUGUAGACCCAAUGAAACCCUUUAAAAUAAUGAAAAUUUAAGAGGCACUAAAAAAUGGCUGAGUUGAGCGAGACAAAAUUGUCGUAACUAAUCGCUCGAUAUCUCCUGCAUCCCUCGCUCUAACUCCCUGAAACUCAGACAGCGGGUAGACGAAUCCUCGCUCUAUCUCUCGCUCUAAUCCCCGUUGACCUAGACCCAAAACUACCCAUGAAAAUAAUGAAAAUUUAAGAGGUACUAAAAAAUUGACGAACUGAGCGAGAGAAAAUUGUCGUAACUAAUCGCUCGAUAUCUCCAUCAUCCCUCGCUCUAACUCCAUGAAACUCGGACAGGGGGUAGACGAAUCCUCGCUCUAUCUCUCGCUCUAAUCCCCGUUGACCUAGACCCAAAACUACCCUUGAAAAUAACAAAAAUAUAAAGUCAAAUAAAACAUUGCAGAGUUGAGCGAGAGAAAAUUGUCAUAGCUAAUCGCUCGAUAUCUCCAUCAUCCCUCGCUCUAACUCCAUGAAACUCGGACAGGGGGUAGACGAAUCCUCGCUCUAUCUCUCGCUCUAAUCCCCGUUGACCUAGACCCAAAACUACCCUUGAAAAUAACAAAAAUAAAAA